rnacentral:rRNA from 1 species
GGCCCUACGGGAGGCAGCAGUGGGGAAUAUUGCACAAUGGGGGGAACCCUGAUGCAGCGACGCCGCGUGAAGGAAGAAGUAUUUCGGUAUGUAAACUUCUAUCAGCAGGGAAGAAAAAGGACGGUACCUGACUAAGAAGCCCCGGCUAACUACGUGCCAGCAGCCGCGGUAAUACGUAGGGGGCAAGCGUUAUCCGGAUUUACUGGGUGUAAAGGGUGCGUAGGUGGCAGGGCAAGUCAGAUGUGAAAGCCCGGGGCUCAACCCCGGUACUGCAUUUGAAACUGUCCAGCUGGAGUGCAGGAGAG